UACGUAGGGGGCUAGCGUUGUCCGGAAUCAUUGGGCGUAAAGCGCGCGUAGGCGGCCAGAUAAGUCCGGUGUGAAAGUCACAGGCUCAACCUGUGAAUGCCGCUGGAAACUGUCUGGCUAGAGUCCGGAAGGGGCGAGUGGAAUUCCUGGUGUAGCGGUGAAAUGCGCAGAUAUCAGGAGGAACACCAAUGGCGAAGGCAGCUCGCUGGGACGGUACUGACGCUGAGGCGCGAAAGCAUGGGGAGCGAACAGG
rnacentral:rRNA from 1 species